rnacentral:rRNA from 1 species
GACGAACGCUGGCGGCGUGCUUAACACAUGCAAGUCGAACGGACAGGCCCUGCUUUUGCUGGGUGCUCGAGUGGCGCACGGGUGUGUAACACGUGAGUAACCUGCCCUUGACUUUGUGGUAACUUCAGGAAACUGGGGAUAAUACAGGAUAGAAGCUCCUGCUGCGUGGUGGUGGUUGGAAAGUUUCGGCGGUUGGGGAUGGAAUCGCGGCUUAUCAGCUUGUUGGUGGGGUAGUUGCUUACAAAGGCUUUGACGGGUAGCCGGCCUGAGAGGGUGACCGGGCACAAUGGGACUGAGAUACGGCCCAGACGCCUACGGGAGGCAGCAGUGGAGAACAUUGCGCAACGGGCGGAAGCCUGAUGCAGCGACGCCGCGUGCGGGAUGACGGCUUUCGGGGUGUAAACCGCUUUCGCCUGUGACGAAGCGUGAGUGACGGUAAUGGGUAAAGAAGCACCGGCUAACUACGUG